AGAAAUUAUCUCCCUUUGAAAUAUAUAUAUGUCAUAAAUUUCAUGGUGAGCGAUCUCACACAUGCUAACUUCUCUUGUAGUAUAUACAUGCAUAUACAAAAGUUUAAUUAGAACCAAAGACAAAAUCUAUUUGGAGUUGUUACUCUUUGACUGAUAAAGAAGGGGGAGAACGAUACCAAAGGGACUGUCAAACUCAUAGAUUGAAAAUAAACUGACAACGCCAUGGCUAAAAAAGAAAAAGACAAACAGACAAAUAAUAUUAUUGAAAAAUGGCAAUGAGACAACUUUCCACCAGAGACCAAAGUACAUAAUUUAACAAUUUAGUCAAUGAAAAUCCUUCAACAAUUAGAAACAAUUAUACCACAAAGUAAGCUAUAAAAUGCUCUGACAACACCAAUGUCAAACAAUCCAAACAGCCAGAUUAAUGUAAAAACUAAAGAUAAACAAAAACAUAUAUGAUAUACAGCAAAA
rnacentral:lncRNA from 1 species